CCCCUCUCUUUUAUGCGACUCCUCUCUCCCUCCCCUCCUGACUCGUCUCAGUCUCUUCGCCUCUCUUCUCUCCCUCCUGCCCGUGCCUCCCUCCUCGCGCUUCAUCGACAACGAGCACCUCGUCUUGGUCUUGGCCUUGGCUUUUGGUGUGGCGACGUUGGGUACUGUGAUUAUCUUGUUCUCGCUGGCAGGAGAUGGCCUGUACGCAGGAGAACGCCAUGGCAACCGACGAAAGCACCGGGGAUCAUCGCGGGAGUCGUCCGAGUUCCCACGACAUGGAUUUAUCAGGGGAUGACCACGUGCCAAAGGCGCGCAAGCCGUACACCAUCACGAAGCAGCGGGAGAAGUGGACCGAGGAAGAGCACAAGCGCUUCCUGGAGGCCCUGCAGCUGCACGGCCGCGCCUGGCGCCGCAUACAAGAGCACAUAGGCACCAAGACGGCGGUGCAAAUCCGGAGCCACGCGCAGAAGUUCUUCUCUAAGGUCACCAGAGAGUCGUCCGGGAGCAGCAGCGGCUCGGGCGCCGCGGCCGCGACGGCGACGGCGGCGAUCCAGAUCCCCCCGCCGCGGCCCAAGAGGAAGCCGACGCACCCGUACCCGCGCAAAGCGGACGACGGCGCGGCGGCCGGCGGGAAGCACGGCCCGGGGCUCACGCAUCUGGAGAGGCCUCCCGUGCGGAUGGGCGAGCAGGAGGAAGGGUCGCCGACGUCGGUGCUCACCGCGUCGCGGGUCGAGGCCUCGGGUGGCCGCUUCUCCAAUAACUCCAGCGGCAGCAGGUCGCCGGUUCCGUCGGCCGCCGGCUCCCUCUACGGCUCGUCGGUGGACAGAGGGGACGGCUGCCUCUCGCCAAAUACUAAGGCUUCAGAGUUCACUGCAAAUGGUGAUGUCAAAGAGGGGUCAUGUACAGGAUCAGCGACAUCGGUCCUUAAGCUAUUCGGCAAGAAAGUCGUGGUGAAUGAUUCAUUCCAGAAGCCGAAUACCAGCACCGGCAACCCGCAGAAUGGUGGGGACGUCGGAACUGAAGCUUCAGACGAUACAACCACACAAGGAAGCAGAAACCUACCUUCUGGCGGUGCCACAGAAGGAAGCUCAUGGAGUCCAUGGCCGAGCAGCAUGCAGCAGUUUGUGUAUUUUGUUCCUCAACCGGAUGGUUUCGCCACACAAUCUGCGGUGCCAUGGUUCGGCACCCUGCCUGGUGCAACGUUCUACCAGCAAGCCGUGGCUCCAAAUCAGCACCAGCACCAGCGCCAUCGCUCAGAGACCGCAGACCACAAGUUCAUGCAGAGGGAAGGAUCCUGGACAGGAUCAAACACUGGCCCCGGAUCAGCUGCGCAUAAUUCAGAUGCUGCCGACUCCCGAGGGAGAGGAAACAGCAGCGAGAGCGACAAAACGCUUGUGCCGCGGUUAACAAAGUGCGAGAGCUCUGUUUCGGUCAGCCUGCAAAGAGGUUUCAUGUCAUACAAGAGAUGCGCGGCCGAGAGCGAAUCGCUGCGGUCGGAGGCACCCAGAGAGGAGACCAACGGGCUAGCGCGGCGGCAGCAGCGGCUCAGGUGCGGUACGCAACGGAGAGGAGGCGUAGCUGCGGAGCGCUGCCGAAGCGGGGAGGAGGACAACUGAGGCGGGUCACUGGGAGGCGCCUGGACACCUUCAGUGAGAACCCUUGCCAUGCCAAAGUCGCCAUUUCUACCUGUGCUAGCAGACGGGGAGCUUCAAAACCAGCCGUUCCGGCGACGUUCUGCACGUCCAGAAUCUGGGUUGGCUUCAAUAACCUUGGAAGUGAAACAUUAUCUUUUGGUGCAUCUCCAUUCUCCAACACACUGCCUGGAAUUUCUCCCCAGGCAAAGAUGUCCUUCAGAGAAUCUAUUCCACAUGCCAUGUGGGAUCCUUCAGAAGCUUUCAGUUUAGGCAUUUGGGAGUAAUUCUUUCCAAGUAGAAAUCUACAUCUGACCACGUUCUCUCCCUUGGAGAGACGAAUGCUUCUGGGCAAUCCAGACUGCUCUUCGAUACUUUGUUCUGUAUCAAUCUAGGACUGCCAUACACAGUAACAAGGCGUGAAGGAGCAUGAUAAGAAGGCGGGGACCAUAUGGACUGAUGGAGACAGGUGGGUAAAUCAGAAGAAGUUACUAAAUGGUGUUGAUCAUUGCUGAGGUGGGAUGAUAUGGUGAAGAACUUGAAGUCGAAAGCAACUUCUUGACUGUCGGUAAUUUACCUUGGUAUAUAUGAGUUUCACGUGGGCUUAUUUCCGUAUCGGUUUGAUACUUGACUUUCAAUUAUUAAUAAAAAAUAUUGCGAGAAAUUUCUGUUUGUAGAAAAAGUUCAAAAGUAAAUAAACUUGUUCUCUAGCGCAUUGUGUAAAAAUGUUUUG